rnacentral:snoRNA from 1 species
UAUUUGCCAUGAUGACUACUGUUAGGACGGUAUCUGAACGGGGUGAUUUUUAAGUGCAUCCCUUCUGUUUAUACCAAAAUUGAAUAUGGUUUCUGAGCAAAUC